AUUGAACGCUGGCGGCAGGCUUAACACAUGCAAGUCGAGCGGGGUGAUGGUGCUUGCACUAUCACUUAGCGGCGGACGGGUGAGUAAUGCUUAGGAAUCUGCCUAUUAGUGGGGGACAACAUCUCGAAAGGGAUGCUAAUACCGCAUACGCCCUACGGGAGAAAGCAGGGGAUCACUUGUGACCUUGCGCUAAUAGAUGAGCCUACGUCGGAUUAGCUAGUUGGUGGGGUAAAGGCCUACCAAGGCGACGAUCUGUAGCGGGUCUGAGAGGUUGAUCAGCGACACUGGGGCUGAGACACGGCCCAGACUCCUACGUGAAGCAGCAGUGGGGAAUAUUGGACAAUGGGGGGAACCCGGAUCCAGCCAUGCCGCGUGUGUGAAGAAGGCCUUAUGGUUGUAAAGCACUUUAAGCGAGGAGGAGGCUCUUUUGGUUAAUACCCAAGAUGAGUGGACGUUACUCGCAGAAUAAGCACCGGCUAACUCUGUGCCAGCCGCCGCGGUAA
rnacentral:rRNA from 1 species